rfam:Bacillus bataviensis LMG 21833 contig34, whole genome shotgun sequence.
AAAGUCCUUCGGGGUCGGGUGAAAGUCCCAAUCGACGGUGAUGAAGAAAUUCUAAGCCCGUGAGCCUUUUCAUAAAGGCAGGAUUUGGUGUGAAUCCAAAGCCGACAGUAUAGUCUGGAUGGGAGAAGGACGUA